rnacentral:lncRNA from 1 species
GCAACAAUUAGCAAGUUUAAGAAAAUCCAUACGCAUACAAAGCUAGGAAAAACAAAAACCUAAAAAUAGGAAACGAAAAAAACCAAAACAACAAUUUUCGACAGAUAAAAAAUGAACAAAUUAACUUUCUGAGGAAAAAUUGCCCUUUUUAAAUUCAAAAACCAAGCAAACAUACAGGUGAAAAAGAGAUAGACAUGCAUCUACAGAAUAAUUGAGGAUGAGUGAGG